rnacentral:misc_RNA from 1 species
UGGCCCUGGAAGAAAAAAUCCACAGAAAAGAACAUGGUUACUGAAGACAAAGCAAAUCUCUCUUUUAGAAGAAAUGACGAUGAGACACUAUCUAGUGAUAAAGCUGAUCUAGAAAGAGAGCUGAAGGUUGUGACUGACAAGCUUUCUACUGCCCUGGUGGAAUGUCGUGGUAAAGAUGAUUUUGCACAGAAACAGAUGAAAAUUGCACAGGAAGCAAUUGCAGGCUGGGAGAAGACUGAAACUGAAGCAAGAUUGCUAAAGCAGGAGCUAGAAAAAGCUCUACAGCAGAGCAUAGCUGGUGAAGAGAGA